rnacentral:rRNA from 1 species
CCCUUAGAUGUUCUGGGCCGCACGCGCGCUACACUGAUGCAUUCAACGAGUCUAAAACCUGCUCUGAUAGGGGUGGGUAAUCUUUUGAAUGUGCAUCGUGAUUGGGAUAGAUGAUUGCAAUUUUUCAUCUUCAACGAGGAAUGCCUAGUAAACGCAAGUCAUCAGCUUGCAUUGAUUACGUCCCUGCCCUUUGUACACACCGCCCGUCGCUCCUACCGAUUGAAUGAUCCGAUGAAUAUCAUGGAUUGAGGAUGCAAGCAGGUUCGCCUGUCUUCAUCUUCGAGAAGUGAAGUAAACCUUAUCAUUUAGAGGAAGGAGAAGUCGUAACA